rnacentral:tRNA from 2 species
CGGGCUGUGGCGCAGUUUGGUAGCGUACUUGACUGGGGGUCAAGUGGUCGCAGGUUCAAAUCCUGUCAGCCCGA